GUCUGGCACAUUAGCACGAGCCUGCUAGUCCUAGCUACUUGGGAGGCUAAGGCAGGAGGAUUGUUUGAGUCCAGGAGUUCUGGGCUGUAGUGCUCUAUGCCAUAUGGGUGUCUGCACUAAGUUCUGCAUCAAUAUGGUAGUGACCUCCUGGGGAGCAGGAGUCCACCAGGUUGAGGAUGGAGGGGGGAACCUGCCCAGGUUAGAAACUGAGCAGUUCAAAACUCUCAUGCUGAUCAGUGUAGAAUCAAACGUGUGAAUAGCCACUAUACUCCAGCUUGAGCAAUACAGUGAGACCCCUAUCCCUUU
ensembl:misc_RNA Metazoa_SRP Metazoan signal recognition particle RNA